rnacentral:rRNA from 1 species
AUACGGAGGAUCCGAGCGUUAUCCGGAUUUAUUGGGUUUAAAGGGUGCGCAGGCGGCCAUUUAAGUCAGCGGUUAAAUCGUGGGGCUCAACCCCAUUCUGCCGUUGAUACUGGGUGGCUUGAUUGCGGUCGAGGUUGGCGGAAUUCGUUGUGUAGCGGUGAAAUGCAUAGAUAUGACGAAGAACACCGAUUGCGUAGGCAGCUGACCAGACCGCAAAUGACGCUCAUGCACGAAAGUGCGGGGAUCGAACAGGAUUAGAUACCCUGGUAGUCCGCACAGUAAACGAUGAAUACUUGUUUUCGGCGAUAUAAUGUCGGAGGUAAAGCGAAAGCGAUAAGUAUUCCACCUGGGGAGUACGCCGGCAACGGUGAAACUCAAAUGAAUUGACGGGU